rnacentral:lncRNA from 1 species
GUUCUUCCUUCUCUGCAUGAAAUUGGACAUCUGUUGACAGCUGGGUGAAAUUUCUUUGACAGGAAAUUUUUUGUCAGGAGGGGGAAGUAAUCAAAUUUGGCAGCCAUGGAAUAUUUUAACAAGUUUGCAUUGGUUUCUCUAAGGAGCUUGUCUUGCACAAAUUUCAUAAAAAGCAGUCAUAUUUGUGUUGUACUUUGUAAUGUAAAAAUUAUAUCUUGGCAUCAUGAUGAGCGCUAUUAUAGUGUCAUGGAAGUGCACAUGGCCAAUAUAUAUCUAAUGGAGAGGAGUCUCAGAGACUUUAAAAUUAGUUUAGUUUAGUUUAGUUUAGAUUUAAAAAAAAAAAAACAAAAAACCCUCAUCUCUUACUGCUUUCAUCUCCUCAAAAAAAGUAAAUGAAAAAGAAAGCUUUCAUAUCAUAAUUCUAAUUUCAAAUUCUCUACUGUUUGUCAGUCAGAGAAGCUGAUCUACAAACAUCCUUCUUACUGAGGGAUACUGGCUCUGCUGUACUUUUCCGUUCUAGAUCACAACACCAGUAGGAUACACAGAGAUGCUUUGGUGUAAAACCAGCCAAAGGCACGUGCACAUACGGAUAUGUACACUGAUACUAAUCAGGACAGAUGUUUCCUGCUUCAGUGCUACACAUAUUGCAGCAUAUGUACCAGAAUAUGCAGGAACAAGUGAUACAAGACUCCCCACCUUUUACCAAUCACUGUCUGCAAACAUUAUGAUGAAAAUUUGUAGCCAUUUUCCCAUCUUAGAGUGUUCUUCAUGAUAGUUAGCAUAGCAGAGAUAUUAUGGAGGCACUGGAUGCAUCGGUCUAAUACUUUUAAGAAACAAACUUUGCAGAAUGUUAUUGAUUAAAAUGCUCUUGAUGAAAUGAUGACAAUACCACCUCUUUUUUUUUUUUUUUAUCUUAAGGACAAAAAAAAAAAA